rnacentral:miRNA from 12 species
CUGCUGUCGCUGCUGGGAUCCGAAGCUUCUGAGGCUCUUGGCCGUCGGGGCACUGCGCGCAGUGGGAGCUUCCCCGUGGGGCUUCCUGGGCCUGCUGUAGCAGGAGGCCUCACCCACC